CCUACGGGAGGCAGCAGUGGGGGAUAUUGCACAAUGGGGGAAACCCUGAUGCAGCGACGCCGCGUGAGUGAAGAAGUAUUUCGGUAUUUAAAGCUCUAUCUGCAGGGAAGAAAAAAUACGGUACCUUACUAAGAAGCCCCGGCUAACUACGUGCCAGCAGCCGCGGUAAUACGUAGGGGGCAAGCGUUAUCCGGAUUUACUGGGUGUAAAGGGAGCGUAUACGGAAAUACAAUUCGGAAGUGAAAUACCCGGGCUCAACCUGGGAACUGCUUUGGAAACUGUAUGGCUAGAGUGCUGGAGAGGUAGGCGGAAUGUAUAGUGUAGCGGUGAAAUGCGUAGAUAUUAGAAGGAACACCAGUGGCGAAGGCGGCUUACUAGACAGUAACUGACGUUGAGGCUCGAAAGCGUGGGGAGCAAACAGGAUUAGAUACCCCAGUAGUC
rnacentral:rRNA from 1 species